ACUGACUGGCUCAGCGUGUGUCUACCCUACGCCGACAGGUGCGGGUAACCCGUUGAACCCCAUUCGUGAUGGGGAUCGGGGAUUGCAAUUAUUCCCCGUGAAU
rfam:Chelonia mydas contig225623, whole genome shotgun sequence.